AGCGAACGCUGGCGGCAGGCCUAACACAUGCAAGUCGAACGAACCUUUCGGGGUUAGUGGCGGACGGGUGAGUAACACGUGGGAACGUGCCUUUAGGUUCGGAAUAACUCAGGGAAACUUGUGCUAAUACCGAAUGUGCCCUUCGGGGGAAAGAUUAAUCGCCUUUAGAGCGGCCCGCGUCUGAUUAGCUAGUUGGUUGAGGUAAUGGCUCACCAAGGCGACGAUCAGUAGCUGGUCUGAGAGGAUGAUCAGCCACAUUGGGACUGAGACACGGCCCAAACUCCUACGGGAGGUAGCAGUGGGGAAUCUUGCGCAAUGGGCGAAAGCCUGACGCAGCCAUGCCGCGUGAAUGAUGAAGGUCUUAGGAUGUAAAAUUCUUUCACCGGGGACGAUAAUGACGGUACCCGGAGAAGAAGCCCCGGCUAACUUCGUG
rnacentral:rRNA from 1 species